CCUACGGGAGGCAGCAGUAAGGAAUAUUGGACAAUGGCCGCAAGGCUGAUCCAGCCAUGCCGCGUGCAGGAUGAAGGUGCUCUGCAUUGUAAACUGCUUUUGUUUGGGAAUAAACCCUUCUACGUGUAGAAGGUUGAAUGUACCAAAAGAAUAAGGGACGGCUAACUUCGUGCCAGCAGCCGCGGUAAUACGAAGGUCCCGAGCGUUAUCCGGAUUUAUUGGGUUUAAAGGGUGCGUAGGCGGGUUAUUAAGUCAGUGGUGAAAGCCUUCAGCUCAACUGAAGAAUUGCCAUUGAUACUGAUGAUCUUGAGUAUGAUUGAGGUGGGCGGAAUGUGUCAUGUAGCGGUGAAAUGCUUAGAUAUGACACAGAACACCGAUUGCGAAGGCAGCUCACUAAGUCAUAACUGACGCUGAUGCACGAAGACGGUGGGGAGGACGAAACGAAGGAGUUAAGUAUACCGUACGGUACGUACCGACCGACCCGUAAACCGAACUAGAUACACUACG
rnacentral:rRNA from 1 species